rnacentral:lncRNA from 1 species
GUUUGCAGUAGUUAUGAAGGGACAAAAUUUCCAGAUAUCGUACUUAAGGGACUAAUUGUGCCUAUUAUUUAGACAAAUCGAUAUUAAGAGUUUAAAUCUUGAAAAUCAAAGGAGAGCAGAACAAUAUUAUUGGUAAGCAAAUCAAGAAUUAACCAAUGCAAGUAAACUAAGAUGUCUCGUUUCACCUGUGUAAAUUAAAAUGAUCUUUUCCGAGUAAUCUUUAACUCAUGUUUCAUAUUGAUGUAUGUCAUUGGCUCUGCUACUUCACAUGCUAUAUUCCAAUCUCACUCUAAUGACUUGUUUAUAAAGAGAUUUCUGCUUCCACAAUUUUCAUAAAAC